rnacentral:piRNA from 1 species
UACACCAAAAUCUGAAUUUUU